CUACGGGACGCAGCAGUGGGGAAUAUUGCGCAAUGGGCGAAAGCCUGACGCAGCAACGCCGCGUGAGUGAUGAAGGCCUUCGGGUCGUAAAGCUCUGUCGGGAGGGAAGAACACCUUCGGGUCUGACGGUACCCCCCGAGGAAGCACAGGCUAACUCCGUGCCAGCAGCCGCGGUAAUACGGAGUGUGCAAGCGUUGUUCGGAAUUACUGGGCGUAAAGCGCGCGUAGGCGGCUUGAUAAGUCAGAUGUGAAAUCACUCGGCUUAACCGAGGAACUGCAUUUGAAACUGUCAGGCUUGAGUACGGGAGGGGGAAGCGGAAUUCCCAGUGUAGAGGUGAAAUUCGUAGAUAUUGGGAGGAACACCAGCGGCGAAGGCGGCUUCCUGGACCGAUACUGACGCUGAGGCGCGAAAGCGUGGGGAGCAAACAGGAUUAGAUACCCUUGUAGUC
rnacentral:rRNA from 1 species